rnacentral:antisense_RNA from 1 species
CAAAUAUUGAAGAAUCUCUAACCAGGCUCGAAACGCCGGUCUCAGUGACUAUUGAGUUACCCACCAAGUUACCCCGGUUAGAGCUGUUUGGGGUGGCUCACGUUAUUGCGGCAAACUUUGGAGAUGACGGCUGAGUCCUCUGGGCGAACAUGUCAAGCCGAUUGUAAAUGCUGUUAUUUCCACAUCCUUCAGGGACACCAGUCCCAACGAAGACCUUGGGCGAUUUCAAAGUGCGGGCACCUCGAUUCCCCGAAUCUGUAGUGUGGCUGGUAUCGGUGUUUCCCUGGUUUAACUAGCCUGCUUGAAGGCGCAGAUCAUUCAUGGGGAAGUAAAACCGAAACCAGUCCUCUCCACCCCCUGCGGGUCUUCACUUUCCCAGUCUACAUCUGCCUGUGACUCCAGAAAGACAAACUGCAGAUUGGCCAAGAUGGGGAAAUUGAGGCACAGAAGCCAAGACAUGCGCUAAAGGUCAUGCGGGCUAUGAAUGGAGCUGGAAUGUGAAUGCAGGCCAUGUGACUCCAGAGCCCAUGUUCUUGAACCCUUAGAAAGACAGCAGCAACACACCUGGUGCAGCAGCUGCUUAGUUGGAGUGGCUGACAAGGUUGGCAGAGGAUCCCGUUCCUCCCGUGGAGUGGCUGCCAUGACACUGCGUGCACUGAAGCUGCUCCUAUUUCUGAAAUAUGUAUUGUUAUUUUUUUCCCUCCAUGUUGAACAUUAUACUCUUCUGUUCUUUCGUAUUCUCUUCUUCCCUUCCAGAUGACUUCUAGGGUUUUUAUAAUUCUGUAAUUCUAAAGGAGAAAGGAUAAUAAGAAUUGUGAGGCCAGGCGCGGUGGCUCACACCUGUAAUCCCAGCACUUUGGGAGGCCGAGGCGGGCGGAUCACUAGGUCAGGA